UAGAGUUUGAUCCUGGCUCAGAUUGAACGCUGGCGGCAGGCUUAACACAUGCAAGUCGAACGAUGACUCUCUAGCUUGCUAGAGAAGAUUAGUGGCGGACGGGUGAGUAACAUUUAGGAAUCUGCCUAGUAGUGGGGGAUAGCUCGGGGAAACUCGAAUUAAUACCGCAUACGACCUACGGGUGAAAGGGGGCGCAAGCUCUUGCUAUUAGAUGAGCCUGAAUCAGAUUAGCUAGUUGGUGGGGUAAAGGCCCACCAAGGCGACGAUCUGUAACUGGUCUGAGAGGAUGAUCAGUCACACCGGAACUGAGACACAGUCCGGACUCCUACGGGAGGCAGCAGUGGGGAAUAUUGGACAAUGGGGGCAACCCUGAUCCAGCCAUGCCGCGUGUGUGAAGAAGGCCUUUUGGUUGUAAAGCACUUUAAGCAGGGAGGAGAGGCUAAUGGUUAAUACCCAUCAGAUUAGACGUUACCUGCAGAAUAAGCACCGGCUAACUCUGUGCCAGCAGCCGCGGUAAUACAGAGGGUGCGAGCGUUAAUCGGAAUUACUGGGCGUAAAGCGAGUGUAGGUGGCUCAUUAAGUCACAUGUGAAAUCCCCGGGCUUAACCUGGGAACUGCAUGUGAUACUGGUGGUGCUAGAAUAUGUGAGAGGGAAGUAGAAUUCCAGGUGUAGCGGUGAAAUGCGUAGAGAUCUGGAGGAAUACCGAUGGCGAAGGCAGCUUCCUGGCAUAAUAUUGACACUGAGAUUCGAAAGCGUGGGUAGCAAACAGGAUUAGAUACCCUGGUAGUCCACGCCGUAAACGAUGUCUACUAGCCGUUGGGGUCCUUGAGACUUUAGUGGC
rnacentral:rRNA from 1 species